rnacentral:rRNA from 1 species
CCUACGGGAGGCAGCAGUGGGGAAUCUUGCACAAUGGGGGAAACCCUGAUGCAGCGACGCCGCGUGAGCGAUGAAGCCCUUCGGGGUGUAAAGCUCUUUCGGCAGGGAAGAAACAUGACGGUACCUGCAGAAGCAGCUGCGGCUAACUACGUGCCAGCAGCCGCGGUAAUACGUAGGCAGCAAGCGUUGUUCGGAGUUACUGGGCGUAAAGGGUGUGUAGGCGGUUCUCUAAGUUUGGUGUGAAAUCUCCCGGCUCAACCGGGAGGGUGCGCCGAAAACUGGAGGACUGGAGUGCGGGAGAGGAGAGUGGAAUUCCUGGUGUAGCGGUGAAAUGCGUAGAUAUCAGGAGGAACACCGGCGGUGUAGACGGCUCUCUGGACCGUAACUGACGCUGAGACACGAAAGCGUGGGGAGCAAACAGGAUUAGAUACCCUGGUAGUCCACGCCCUAAACGAUGCACAUUUGGUGUGGGCCAUUCAGUUGGUCCGUGCUGGAGCUAACGCGUUAAAUGUGCCGCCUGGGGAGUACAGUCGCGAGGCUGAAACUCAAAGGAAUUGACGG